GUGGGAAGGCGCCAAGUCAUGCAGAUGGUAGCAGCGAUUUCACAAUGCCCAGCCUUGGCGCCCCCCAUCAAGAGCAAGCCACUUGCUUUCGCCUUCAGACAGAUGGUUAACGUCUUCUUGAAAGCGGUUGAGAAGACAACAUUGCUGCAAGAUUCCAGCAAUGCCAUGCGCUGCAUUUAUUGGUCAAGAUGCUCAGAGAAUGGAGUCCCUGCACCUCGUGGUUAACCGUGAACAUUUCUUUUUCUUUUGGAAAGCUAAAGGCCAUUUGCUGCAUCACUUGCAUUUUUGCAGCUCAGAUGUGUACUAUAUUUUUCUAAUUUUGAAUCAAUAUUGGCUAUUCAGUAUAAAAAAUGACGUACAGCGUGAAGGACAAGGACUGCGAGAGACACACUCCACUGACUUUCAACAAUAUUUUAUUGCGUUGCCACAUCGUAUGUGUAUACACAGAGGGGUCAUGCGCAGAAAAUGAAAGCCAGACACAAGGGGUGUUCUAACAGCAAGUCAUUGUAAAAAGAACAUGGUCACUUGAAAAAAAAAACAUCACAAUUUCUAUCUGUUUAGAUACAAAAUUUCACUAGGGGUCAGCGUGAUAGAGGGGGCACUAACGCACACACUACCCAGUUUUCUGGUGAAAUCAGCUUCAAUAAUUUACCGGGUGAGCUGUGUCUCGCUAAAACUUCGGUAUCUUAAAGAGGGGCAUGCAGCCGCAGUCCCGGCAAUGAAUGCCCAAGUGGCCUUGAACAGUGUUAUGGACGUUGUUAUAGUGCUCUCUUAAACGAUCAUUUAGGCGCAUGCCUAUCUGUCCAAUAUAUUUACUGCCUCAAAAUGGGAAUUUGGGAAACCACAUUCAUUGCACACAUCGCAAAACGUUUUCUGUGCUCGGCAGAGCAACAACUCUGACGUGAUUUAGGCGCGUUUACACACUUACAGAGCCUUGCCAGCUUUUCCGGGGCUGAGAAAAGGACUGUGAUUUCUGCAGGUCCCCUAAUCUUUUUUAGCCUAUGGGAGACAUCAUGAACAUACGGUAGCACUGCAAACCUGUGUCUUUCAACCGGCUGGUUCCUUGACCGAGCGUGCUCAUCAUGUUUUGUGCACUUCAGAAGCUGUUCCGCUAUGGCUGAAAUUAAGGCCAAAGGGUAGCCAACCCAAGAAAGGCAAUCAGCCUGUGCAGCAACGCUAUGUUGCAUCUCUUGUGAGCAAGAUUUAUUGAGGCUGUUAAGGAGGCAAAGCUUCACAAUAUCUCAUUUGACUUUGUUGGACAGACAGGCAGGCGCCUAAACAAUCAUUUAGGAGAGCACGAUAACAACGUCCAUAACACUGUUCAAGGCCACUUCGGCAUCCAUUGCUGGGACUGCGGCUGCAUGCCCCUCUUUGAAGGUACGGAAGCUUUAGUGAGACAGGUCAUCCAGGAAACUAUAGAAGCAGAUUUCACUAGAAAACUGGUUAGUGUGUGCGUUAGUGACCCCUCUAUCGUGCUGACCCCUAGUGAAGUCUUGUAUCUCAACAGAUAGAAAUUCUAAUGUUUAUUUUUUUCAAAGGACGAUGUUCUUAGUACAGUCACUUGCUGUUAGACACCCCUUGUGACUCAUAUUCUGCGCAUGCCCGCUUUUGUGCAAAUAUACUCGAUGUGGCAAUGUAAUUAAAUAUUGUUUGAAGUCAGCGCAGUCUGUCAUCUCUCGCAGUUCUUGUCAUUCAAGCUGUACGUAAUUUUAUCUCAUUAAUUGCAAACUAUCCCAAGGAACUACCCUUGUUCAGUAUAAUUAUAAUGUUUGAUAUGACCAUUUGCUGGCAAAUGUUAACAGUGUGAUAUUUAACUUGAACUUUUGCAUGACUGCCUAUGCCUGUGUUCUUUUAGUAACCAGAGUAUGGCUAAUUUAUUAAACCAUAUUUGCUAAUUUGCAUGCUCACAUGCUAUAGCAUGCCUUAAUCUUGAAUUACUGCAUCUAAGUGCAAAUAAUUUAGAAAUUUACUAUGUAUUUUAAAACACUGUCCACAUUUUGUGCUCAGCAAAAUCGUUUAAUCAACAGUGGUUUGUUUUUAUCAGGCCUCCUGCUGCACUUUGCACCCAGGCACUAGUAGAUGUGGAAUAUGCACUCUUUUGAUUUAUAGUAAGCAAAGAACCUAUUUUCAAACUACAUAUUGUAUAUGUACCAGUGCCUUAGAGUUACAAAACAAAAAUUUAUAGAAACUGGUAUUGUUAGAAAAACCGCUACACAGUACCUUUAGCCCAGAGAACUCUCAUUUCACAAAAGAGGACAAACUAUGUAGGCGCUAAAAAAUUCUACGUAUUUUUUGUGCUCAAGUAAUCUUGUUGGAAAUAGAAAAUUAGCAAUAAGGCUCCUGGCAUAAACCUCACUUAAAGCAUGUCUAUGCUUGGAAAGUAUUCUUUCAGUCUGAAAAAUGUUGGCCAGUUAUGCUUUACAUCGACUUUCCAAACUUUUCAUAAUGCUUUGCGAUUACAUUAGUGUACAAAAUAACAGGUGUCUUUCUUGUGCGUUUGCUCUGCAUUUCAAUUACUUCCCUAAUUCACCUUUGCAAUAUGCCUUUUUUUAAGGCAUCAAAACUUGAAUUUUCGUUCACUGGAGCCUAAUACUAAAAAUUUAUUCCUUUAUGUGGCCCAAAACACUGCGAAUCAACCCAGGCUCUUUCAGUGCCGCUAUACAUAGUUUCUUCUCGAAUAACAGAUUUGAUCAAUACAUAUAUUUUAGGUACCUUUGUGGGGAAUGUACAUGUUCUUGUACUUACCGAUGUGUUUGGUGAUUGU